GGCCGUGGCUCAGUGGUUAGUGUAUCUGCCGUGAAUGCAGAAGGUCCCAUGUUCAAUGCUAGGGUAGAGCUG